UGACGGUCUUAGCAACAAACGUCACGCUAACAAAGGUGUCCUAAUUGGUGACUUUGUGAAGCGUGGGAUCAUGGGAGUUGUUGUCUUUCACCACCGUCGCAGAAGAAAUUACAACAGAAAGUAGUAACGGACAAGAUGUGUUAACAGGACAUAGAGGCACUGAUGUAAAGAGAACUGAAUCCACCACACCUGCAUUGGUUUCUGAGAGAAGAUCAUGAUAGCGUCUGUGCAACUGAGACAGCAUGUGAUGAUGCGGGGAUUUCACAAUAGGAUUAACCCUGUUAAGUUCAAUUUUGGCAAACUGAUGUCAGUAUCUACACUGAAAAUCUUCACGUGGAGCCAUAUUUAUUUUUAUCUUUACCGUCUGAAGUUCAGAUGAGCUGUGUUGUAAGCAUUCAGCAGCAGGGAUGCACUAUCGUAGGUUAUUCACUCUGUGUGUCCUAAGCAUCCCAUCCAUCUGUGUGUUCCUUUAAUUGCCCUGCAACCGGGAACCUGACAAGGAUCCUACUGUCUGCUGUUACUGGAAAUGGAAAUAAAUAAACCUGAUUGACUGUC
ensembl:lncRNA